GGGGGCGGGACUGAGGGGCCUGGGGGGGGGGGUCCAGUGAGCUGCACAGACGAAAUGUUUCAUGUACAUAUAAGGAACGCUCAACCGACAUUAAAACACACACAUACACACACACAGACGAAUACACACACAUAUACACACACACAAUAGACGCAUAGACACACAAUCACAAAUACGCACACAUAUACACAGACACACACACAAACAAAUACACACACAAAUACACACGCACACACACACAUAUGCACACAGACACAAUUUAACACACACAAACACGAAUACACACACACACACCCUUGCUCUAUGUUGCGUGAAUUCUCACUCAUGCAUACAAACACAGUCUCACACACACACACACACACACACACACACACACACACACACACACACACACACACACACACACACACACACACACACACACACACACUCAUACACACAAAGUUAUUUAAAGACGCCAUUGUAAAAUACACUGUUAUAGUUUUUAUACCGAAAAUGCAUGUUUGUAGAAUACCAAAAAUGCAAAUUGAACAGAGUGAUGCUUUUUUUUAUCUUGAGUUUCAGUGCCAUGGAAAGUGUUUGGUCAAUGUGCUUUUAUUAUAGCCCGUUAAAGUUCAACAUUGCUAUUUGGCAUCAUUGUGCUGUAUUUAGGUGUGAGGUUGUUUAUCUAUUCAUGGCAGCUGUAUUAUGUCCUCUUAUUGAUCUUUUUAUAUAAAUAUAAAAUAUCAUAAAAUAUAAAAAUAUAAAUGGUGCAUAGGGAUCAGAAUAAAUAAUUCAUUUUAUAUUGAAAGGAUAUUAAAUGGAAUGACCACUGCGUACUAUCCCUUACUGUAUUCAAUAUACACUUAUUAUACUUUUUUUGUCUUAAACAUCUUGGUUUUAUUGCCUUUCCUGUUGUUUAGGUCACAGUAUGUUUUUGUAUUUAUUUGUGUUUUAUUUAGUUCUUCUAGAAUAGUAAUAUUGACUGCAUACUUCCUGUCCGACCUUAUAACGUGACAUGAAGCUUAAAAACUGACUGCUGCUGGAAUCCUUUCCUCCCUAAGUUCAAAGGUCACCUGGUUUCCGUGUUGCGUCCGCUGGGUGACAAGUGUCUAUUUGUCAAUGAACAGUAGUGAUAAAAGGUCAUUUCAUGCUUGCGAAAUAUAAAUAAAUUGUAUUUUACAUAAGUGAUUUAUCGAGUGUGUUUAUUUUUUGCUUAAUUAUUUUCAUUCUCCUGUAUUUAAUUCACAUAAAGAUUUAAAUUAACUUUUUUGUGGAC
ensembl:lncRNA